GGUUGAAGAUCAGACUUCAUAGGCAAGGAUUACUAAAGAGAUUAUUUGAUUAUUUUAUUUUCCUUAUGUACAGAUUUAAAUUUCUUUUUAGUAGUAAACUUCAAUUGUUCAGUUUGUUCAAAAGGUGGUUGAACAGCCCCUCUUUACAGAUGUCACAUUAACGAAGCCUGGGAGAAGCCUCUGUUUUCUUUUAGAGGAGAAGAUGAAGCAAAGUGCUCUGUUCUCUCAAGAGGCAUUGGAAAUGACAUCUGAGUCUUUGCAGCACAGAUUUAAUCAAAAUUAGUCUUGCAGAUUAGAAGCUGUUGUGGUUUGACACUGGCCAAACACCAGGCACCCACGGAAGCCACUCGCUCACCCACCCCUGCCACAGCUGGGCAGAGGAGAGAACAUUGAACAGAGGGUCCAUGAGUUGAGAUAAUGACCCGAAGAAAACACUCCAGGGGCAAACCAGGCUCAUCUUAGAGAUGCUUGCAGCCUCCUGAUAUGAUAUGCUGUUACUCUGCAUGGACAGACACCAGAGGCCUGAAGAGCUAUGGCAUUACUCUGCAUGGGCAGAUGCCUGAAGCCUUCUCAAGAGGCAAAGAAAGGAAGGACAGAAAUAAAGACAGAAGAGAGAGAAAGAGAAGAAUAUCACCAGUCCUUAGAUACUGCAUUGGUUCUGCCACAUGGAUGUCCAGA